rnacentral:rRNA from 2 species
AAACUUUCAACAACGGAUCUCUUGGUUCCGACAUCGAUGAAGAACGCAGCGAAAUGCGAUAAGUAAUGUGAAUUGCAGAAUUCCGUGAAUCAUCGAAUCUUUGAACGCAUAUUGCGCCCCCUGGUAUUCCGGGGGGCAUGCCUGUCCGAGCGUCAUUG